AGUCAACUGGGGAGCUCAGUGAGAUUCUCCUGCUAUACUCUCAUCAGUUUUAAUUUGCCUAGGCCAUUCGGAUUUGGAAGAUUUCUGAGCAAGAUGGCUGAGUGCUGAAUUUAACAGCCAAGAUGAUUCUCCAAUCUCUGUGCUUAUGUCUGCACACAUCAGAGACUCUCCUUUACCUAGCCCUGUUUAUUCCUGAACACAAAGUAAUUAAUACUUCAAAGUGUUAGGUAGCCGGGUAUCCAUCGCUUGCCUUCACUCCUCUGUAAGCAUCAGGGACCACAAAACACAGGUUUUAUUUAUUGCUGUAGGUUCCACAACAUGUGGCAGAGGGUGUGCUCACAACAGGAGCUGGUGAACCACCUAACACUGUGAGUGUAGACAUUGGCACAGGUGUGGAUGAUAAACUCAGGUAAGGGUACAAAUACAGUCUUAAGGCAAUGUACAUUUGAGCCUUUGUUUUUAGAGGGACUGCUUGAUAGACUUUCCAGCAGACCUAUACAAACCCUAGCAGCUAAGGUGCAAGGAUGCAGCUCCCUAUGCCCUGGGUGUGGUGUCUGUAGUCAUACUUCACCAGGCAGCCCCUCUCCUCCCCUUCCCUGGUGCCUCUUUGGCUGCUCUGUCUCUCUUCCCUGGCUUUGAACUUGUUGGCAGCCUCCAAUAACCCCUCUUCAAAGAGCUGAAGGCAAGCCUGAUGUUACAAUUGCCUUGCUUAAUUCCAGACAGGUUUCUAUUAAUCGUAUUAAAUUCGGGUGAACAAAGGGCAUUUAGUCUGUGAUAGAGCUGAACCAUAUCUGGAUUAAUAUAAACAAGAGAAUUAAUCCUGCAAGAGCCACUAUCUGCCAGCAAGUGGAAAGAUGUCAGCAGUGCCCUUGCUAAAGCAGGUUGGAGGGUGGAUGGCAGGAGAGAUUUAACAAGAUUGGUGCUGAGCAUCUGGACUCUGUAUAAAGAGGGGAAUAAAGAUUGCAACUGGAA